ensembl:lncRNA
CAUUAGAGAGUACAAUCGUGGUGGUGGUUGUGGUGGUGGUGGGGUUGGCUGUGCUGGUGGUUGUGGUGGUGGUCGUGGUGGUGUCUGCAUUUCCAGAAGUGGAGGAUGCACUGCCUGAGGUACCAGCUGGUCCUUUAGAAGAGCCAGGUUGUCCAGAUGUGGAGACAGCAGCUGAUGAUCCAUAAGAGACCGUUUUGGUGGUUGUGGUGGUGCUGGUGCUGGUGCUGGUUGUACUUGUGGUUUCUGCUUUUUCAGAAGUGGGGGCUGCAUUUGGUGAGGUGAGAACAAGUUCUGCUGUGUUCACAGGUUGUUGAGAUGGGGAGACAGGAGGUGCUGUUGAAUUAGAGGCUGCCCUCAGCCCACUUGUGCCAGAGGUAGACAAGGCAGGAGCUGAGCUUCCAGUAGGUGCUGGUG